AUGAAAUUUUCCAUAUUCCUAGUUACGUAUUUACUUACGGCGACGAAGAAUAAAACUAUCGCUAUAUUUUUUCCUUUUCCUAGUUCUUCUUCCAAGCGCAGGAUAACCCCAAGGGGUUGUGGUUUUUUUUCUACCAAUGGGAGCUUUCACUUCACCGCCCCCAUGGGGGUGGUCCACAGGGUUCAUAACUACCCCUCUUACUACAGGGCGUUUACCUAG
rnacentral:rRNA from 1 species